AAAAACUUAGGUUAACCAAACCAAGGGCCUUCAAAGUCCUAAAUAGGGGCCCCCUGCCCUUAGUUUUUG
rnacentral:tRNA from 1 species